ensembl:lncRNA
AACUCCAAACCCAAGCCGCGAAACUUCACCUACGAUCAUGUGGCGGACAUGGACGUGACUCAGGAAUACAUGUUCUCCUUAGUCGCUAAAAUAUCGUGGAGUCGUGCACGCAUGGUUAAAAUGGCACGAUAUUCGCAUAGUGAGUCUCCAGACUGUACAGAACAACAUGCAGUUUCUUUACUCGCAAUAAUCAGUCAGCUUCAAAACUAUAUAUAUAUCAAACGAAAUCUGGUGUUAGAGUGAUUGAUCUUUUUCCUCCUUAUUUUCCCGAUGAUGCAGUGGACAGACGGGUUCAGGGAAGACCUUUACCAUGCUGGGGCCGAACGAGCUGACGGAUUUCUCUGAUCAGCUGCGUGAUGUUAUUCCUCAUAGCAUUGAGCAUUUGUAAUCCCUCAUGAGCAGAGUGGGGGCGGAGGUGAGCUGUUACAUUCAACCUCACAUCAAACACGCUACCUGC